rnacentral:rRNA from 1 species
UGGGGAUGACGUCAAGUCCUCAUGGCCUUUAUGGUAGGGCUUCACACGUCAGUACAACGGUCGGUACAGAGGGUUGCCAACCCGCGAGGGGGAGCUAAUCCCACAAAGCCGAUCGUAGUCCGGAUCGCAGUCUGCAACUCGACUGCGUGAAGUCGGAAUCGCUAGUAAUCGUGGAUCAGCAUGCCACGGUGAAUUACCGGUUCCCGGGUCUU